rnacentral:lncRNA from 1 species
UUUUUUCUUUUCUUUUUUUUUUUUUUAAAUCAGGCUGCCAGGUCCCAGUAGGUAGGUAGCUACUGGGUUACUGAAGGCAGGUCAGCAGAAUUGCCUGUACACUAACUCUAGGGACUCAGUCCUGGGGACUAAUUUGGUGAUGGGGUAGGCCCAGAGCCAGAGUAUACCAGGCAGAUCUGCAGCCUAAAAAUAUGUCCCUAAACACACAAGCUUGAUCCAUGGGCACUGGCAUACUCAGAUGCCUCUCCUCAUUCUAGGUUUUCCUGGAUUGGCCUCCACAUUGGGAUUUGAGGCAAUGGCUAGGCAGAGGACAUUUCUCACUGUGCUGCUUGGCAUUGUGGGAUGAGUGACACGAGUGAUGCCAAACUCUCCUUCCUCUUCUGCUUAACUACCCUCUACUGCCAUACCCAGGUUCUGUAAUCUCACCUGGCUUCUUACUAAGGUUUGCAAAGGUACUUUUGUGUGGUUGGUCUAAUUGACAGGUUUUACAAAGUUCCAUUUUACCAUCUUGCUGAUGUCAGGACUUGAUUGUUUUUUGAGACACCCUCCUUGUCAUUUGUAUGUAUAUGCUGUUACUUUCCUCUUUUUAGUUUUUUCAUUCUCUCUAAUGCUUUCUAAUUCAAAAUAAUCUUGAUUUUUAAAAUCACAGUUAUAUUUGAUUGUCAUCUUUUAGUUUUAUAUGCAGUACACUUAAUCAGUGUCUCAUGCUAUAAAGACUUAAAGCAUUUAAUUGUAUGAUUUGUUACAUGGCUCGUAUUUAUCAAAAUGGACUGCUCAUAUUGACAAGCUCUUUGUGAGAUAAGCUUUUCUCAUUUGGGGUUAUAGCUAAAAGUUGUCCUGGUAUGAGCCUCAUGCACACUAGAAAUACUUUGGUCUGGUGUAUUGUGCUUGAAUGCCCACUAGAUGUCACUGUUGGCUUUUACUUUGUAGCCCUAUUUUCUAGUCAUCAGCUGAAGGCUUCGACUGUAGCUGCCUUAGUUGUAGUUUUUUUCCUAGAAUGUAUUCACAUUGAAAAACUCUUUGAUGCAUUUUGGGAAGUGUAAAUCCUCAUACAAGAUCUCUGUGUAUAUGAAGAUGUCUUGUAUUUUCUUGUAAGUUGGAUAGUACAAAAUUCUUUUGAGAGGCUAAUAGGAGAAACUUUAAAUGAUGUUUGGAGCUUGGGGUAUACCUGGUCUUUGCUUCUUUUAUUUAAAUGCUGGAACAUUAGCUGUUUGGAACAGGAGGUCUUAUAGGUAGCUUAUUAGUUGUCUCGUCUAUAUUUAUGUAUGGUGAUGACAUGGCCUCAUGGUACCAGGUAUUCCUAAGGAUUGCCAGGUGAGGCUCAACUAUUUUCCUGAAUAACUUUACUAUGUGUUUUGUAUAGUUCUCACUAAAGAAUCACAAAUUUUGGAUGUUCUUUUAAUUUGUACUUUCAAUUAUACAUCUUUAGGUAAUUUAUUAUAUUUACUUUUAUCUUUUAUAUGUUCAAAAAGUUUCAGGUAAUAUUUUGUGAGAUGAAGUAGAUCAUAAUUUUUAAAAAAACAUUUCUCCAACACUUGUCUUUCAUUUAAAAAGAGAGAAGUCUGUGAAUUCAGAUACUAAGAAGUAAUUAAGACACUGAACUUUUAUGAGGGUUUUGGAGCCUUCCUUUCAUAAGUUAUAGGAUUGCUUUAACUGAACGAAAAGUCAUUCUUUUAUAUUUCCCAUGGAUUCUGUCUGUGAGGGGCUUUAGUACGUACUGAAGUAUUUUAGUAGGGUUCCUUUCUCUUUUUCUAGAAAGUAUGUGUCUGCUUAAACUAUUUUAAAUAUUCAUUUUCUAUAACCUCACUGUCGUGAAGUAGUAACUUAAGAUUUGAAGGUGAGAAGAACAAAUGACUGCCUUAACAUGAUCUUCCUUCACUUCAGUUAUGGAGUGUAGCUAGACCUUUGUUAUCACUGCUGAGGACUCUCCAGAAGGAUCUCCAUGAUUCAGCAAUGUGUGCUUGAUUCUGUAUAACUGAGGGGGUUGAAAAUGAACUUUCUAUUGAUAGAACGUUGACUUGGGCCAAAUUGAGCUUUCUUUCUUUUCUUUUUUUUUCCAACAGAUUUUAUUUAAGUAUAUGCCACCCACUUUAUUUUUAAAGAUUUGCAAUUUUUUAUUUAAGGAAAUUUUAUAAGGCAUUAAGAUUCUAUAAGCAAAAAUUGUAUAUACAAAAGAGAUUCUCUAGACAGAAGUGAGAAUUUUUUAUUUCAGUCUUUGUUUUAAUUUCCUUUCUGCUGUAUCAUUGCAUCUGUGUCUUUCAGGUUUACUGAUAUUCAGGAAGAGCUUGCAAAAAAAGGCACUGUUGUUGAAUUUUAAAAUCUUUUGGGUUUUGUUGUUGUUGUUGUUGUUUUUCAAAACAGGGUUUCUUUGUGAAUAUAGCCCCUGGUUAUCCUGGAGCUUACUCUGUAGACGAAACUGGCCUCAAACUCAGAGAUCCAUCCGCCUCUGCUUGUCUCCUGAGUGUUGGGAUUAAAGGUGUAUGCUACGACUGCUUAGUAAAUCUUUUGUAUUUUAACAUUAUGUUUUGCUUAGUAUUUUUUCUCUGUGAAAGGAAAAUAAUAUGUUAAGAUUUUUCUUGUCUAAAUAACAAAGAAUACUAGAGUUGAUUUAACUACUUAAACAUUUUAGAAAAUAUUCAACAACACCUAACAAUUUGUUAAUUAUAUCUCUUUUAAAAACUGUUGUAGAACUUUUUGUGCUUAAUAGGAAACUGAUAUGUAAUUUCUUAUACAUACCUUGAAGGCACUCAAAGUUGUUUCUAAACUCUUGUGAGAAAAACAGCUUGCAGCCAAGUGGUGGUGGCACAUGCCUUUAAUCCCAGAACUGAGGGAGAGGCAGGCAGAUUUUUGAGUUUGAGAUCAGCCUGGUCUAUAGAGAUUUCCAGGACAGCCAGGGCUACAUAGAGAAAAGCUGUCUUAAAACUUACUCCACCCCCAACAAAACAAAACAAAAAAAUCAAAACAAACAAAAAACAAAAAGAGAAAAGAGAAAAGAAAG